GCCACACUUGAGGUCUGGGACCUCAACGAAGAUAUGGCUAUCUCAGUCAUGAAGAAGGGGCUAAGAGGGUCCUGGUUCACAUAUUCCUUGGACAAGACCCUCCCCCGGAUGUAUGCCGAACUACUGGAGCACGCGAUAAAUACAUGCACGCAGACGAAGGAGCUUCCGAUCGGCGUCUGAUCGAGGGCAUGGGCCAAAAGGAGA
rnacentral:lncRNA from 1 species